UGGCUCAGGACGAACGCUGGCGGCGUGCCUAAUACAUGCAAGUCGAGCGGAUUUAUCCUUCGGGAUAAGUUAGCGGCGGACGGGUGAGUAACACGUAGGCAACCUGCCUAUAAGACUGGGAUAACUAUCGGAAACGAUAGCUAAGACCGGAUAACUGAUUUUCUCGCAUGAGAAAAUUAUGAAACACGGAGCAAUCUGUGGCUUAUAGAUGGGCCUGCGGCGCAUUAGCUAGUUGGUAGGGUAACGGCCUACCAAGGCGACGAUGCGUAGCCGACCUGAGAGGGUGAACGGCCACACUGGGACUGAGACACGGCCCAGACUCCUACGGGAGGCAGCAGUAGGGAAUCUUCCGCAAUGGACGCAAGUCUGACGGAGCAACGCCGCGUGAGUGAUGAAGGUUUUCGGAUCGUAAAGCUCUGUUGCCCUAGACGAACAGCAAGAGGAGUAACUGCCUUUUGUGUGACGGUAUAGGAGAAGAAAGCCCCGGCUAACUACGUGCCAGCAGCCGCGGUAAUACGUAGGGGGCAAGCGUUGUCCGGAAUUAUUGGGCGUAAAGCGCGCGCAGGCGGUCAAUUAAGUUGGGUGUUUAAGCCCGGGGCUCAACCCCGGUUCGCAUCCAAAACUGGUCGACUUGAGUGUAGGAGAGGAAAGUGGAAUUCCACGUGUAGCGGUGAAAUGCGUAGAGAUGUGGAGGAACACCAGUGGCGAAGGCGACUUUCUGGCCUAUAACUGACGCUGAGGCGCGAAAGCGUGGGGAGCAAACAGGAUUAGAUACCCUGGUAGUCCACGCCGUAAACGAUGCAUACUAGGUGUCGGGGAUUCGAUCCUCGGUGCCGAAGUUACACAGUAAGUAUGCCGCCUGGGGAGUGCGCUCGCAAGAGUGAAACUCAAAGGAAU
rnacentral:rRNA from 1 species